rnacentral:piRNA from 1 species
UAGGAAGGCUUGAAUCUAGCAAAAGGUUC